rnacentral:rRNA from 1 species
UACGGAGGGGGCAAGCGUUGUUCGGAAUUACUGGGCGUAAAGGGCGAGUAGGCGGCCUUGCAAGUCAGAUGUGAAAUCCCACGGCUCAACUGUGGAACUGCAUCUGAAACUGCAAGGCUUGAGUCCGGGAGAGGGAAGCGGAAUUCCCAGUGUAGCGGUGAAAUGCGUAGAUAUUGGGAGGAACACCGGUGGCGAAGGCGGCUUCCUGGACCGGUACUGACGCUCAGGAGCGAAAGCUAGGGGAGCGAAUGGG